rnacentral:rRNA from 1 species
UGGGGAAUAUUGGACAAUGGGGGAAACCCUGAUCCAGCCAUGCCGCGUGAAUGAUGAAGGCCUUCGGGUUGUAAAGUUCUUUUGGUAGGGACGAUGAUGACGGUACCUACAGAAUAAGCCCCGGCUAACUUCGUGCCAGCAGCCGCGGUAAUACGAAGGGGGCUAGCGUUGUUCGGAAUUACUGGGCGUAAAGGGUGCGUAGGCGGUUCGAUAAGUCAGAUGUGAAAGCCCUGGGCUCAACCCGGGAACUGCGUUUUAGACUGUCGAGCUUGAAGUCGGUAGAGGUGAGUGGAAUUCCCAGUGUAGAGGUGAAAUUCGUAGAUAUUGGGAAGAACACCGGUGGCGAAGGCGGCUCACUGGACCGACAUUGACGCUGAGGCACGAAAGCGUGGGGAGCAAACA